rnacentral:rRNA from 1 species
AGUGAACGCUGGCGGUAGGCCUAACACAUGCAAGCCGAACGGCAGCACAGGAGAGCUUGCUCUCUAGGUGGCGAGUGGCGGACGGGUGAGGAAUACAUCUGAAUCUGCCCAGUCGUGGGGGAUAACGUAGGGAAACUUACGCUAAUACCGCAUACGACCUUCGGGUGAAAGAGGGGGAUCGCAAGACCUCUCGCGAUUGGAUGAGCCGAUGUCGGAUUAGCUAGUUAGCGGGGUAAUGGCCCACCAAGGCGACGAUCCGUAGCUGGUCUGAGAGGAUGAUCAGCCACACUGGAACUGAGACACGGUCCAGACUCCUACGGGAGGCAGCAGUGGGGAAUAUUGGACAAUGGGCGCAAGCCUGAUCCAGCCAUACCGCGUGGGUGAAGAAGGCCUUCGGGCUGUAAAGCCCUUUUGUUGGGAAAGAAAUCUUUCAGGCUAAUACCCUGGGAGGAUGACGGUACCCAAAGAAUAAGCACCGGCUAACUUCGUG